rnacentral:tRNA from 1 species
GCCUGGGUAGCUCAGUUGGUUGAGCAUCUGCCUUCAGCUCAGAUCAUGAUCCCAGGGUCCUGGGAUCGAGCCCUGCAUUGGCU